GACGAACGCUGGCGGCGUGCUUAACACAUGCAAGUCGAACGGAAAGGCCCGGCGCUUGUGGGGUGCUCGAUUGGCGAACGGGUGAGUAACACGUGAGUAACCUGCCCUUGACUGUGGGAUAACUUCAGGAAACUGGGGAGAAAAUCGGAGAGGAGCUCCUGCAGCAUGGGGGGGGUUGGAAAGAGUCGGCGGUGGGGGAUGGACUCGCGGGUUAUCAGCUUGUUGGUGGGGUAGGGGCUUACCAAGGCUUUGACGGGUAGCCGGCCUGAGAGGGUGACCGGCCACCUUGGGCCUGCGGUACGGCCCAGUAUCCUACGGGCGGCAGAAGUGGGGAACCUUGCACAGUGGGCCGACGCCUGAUGCAGCGACGCCGCGUGCGGGAUGCCGGCCUUCGGGUUGUAAACCGCUUUCGCCUGUGCCGAAGCGUGCGUGACGGUAACGAGUCAAGAAGCCCCGGCUAACUACGUG
rnacentral:rRNA from 1 species